rnacentral:sRNA from 2 species
GGGCAGUCAUCGCCUAGUCCCCGUACGGCGCGAGCCAGGGGAGCCGGGGACCCACACGUCCCUGGGGUGAAUCGGACGCCCGCGCCCGCGCGGGGGCCCGUAGGAGACCUUCCUGCUCCGAACCCGUCAGCUAACCCGGUAGGCGAGAGGGAAGGAAAGG